UACGUUCCCGGACCUUGCACACACCGCCCGUCAAGCCAUGGGAGCCGGGUGUACCGUAAAGUCGGUAACCGCAAGGAGCUGCCUAGAGUAAAUCGGUGACUGGGGCU
rnacentral:rRNA from 1 species